rnacentral:rRNA from 1 species
GGUUAAGCGACUAAGCGUACACGGUGGAUGCCCUGGCAGUCAGAGGCGAUGAAGGACGUGCUAAUCUGCGAUAAGCGCCGGUAAGGUGAUAUGAACCGUUAUAACCGGCGAUUUCCGAAUGGGGAAACCCAGUGUGACUCGUCACACUAUCAUUAACUGAAUCCAUAGGUUAAUGAGGCGAACCGGGGGAACUGAAACAUCUAAGUACCCCGAGGAAAAGAAAUCAACCGAGAUUCCCCCAGUAGCGGCGAGCGAACGGGGAGGAGCCCAGAGCCUGAAUCAGCAUGUGUGUUAGUGGAAGCGUCUGGAAAGGCGCGCGAUACAGGGUGACAGCCCCGUACACAAAAGCGCAUGUGCUGUGAGCUCGAUGAGUAGGGCGGGACACGUGGUAUCCUGUCUGAAUAUGGGGGGACCAUCCUCCAAGGCUAAAUACUCCUGACUGACCGAUAGUGAACCAGUACCGUGAGGGAAAGGCGAAAAGAACCCCGGCGAGGGGAGUGAAAAAGAACCUGAAACCGUGUACGUACAAGCAGUGGGAGCACCCUUUGGGGUGUGACUGCGUACCUUUUGUAUAAUGGGUCAGCGACUUAUAUUCUGUAGCAAGGUUAACCGUAUAGGGGAGCCGGAGGGAAACC